rnacentral:lncRNA from 1 species
UUAUUAACAAGAAUGUGUCCAAAGUACACGGAUGCCCCACUCGCACUAUCAUUUUCCAUGUUCAAUGGACCGUGAAAAUGGGUAAAAAAUAUAAUUAGGCAUUAAAAUUAGAAAGAUCAUAUCAUAGGGAACAUUUGUACUAAGUUUCAAGUUGAUUGGAAUUCAACUUCAUCAAAAACUACCUUGACCAAAAACUUUAACCUGAAACUCGCACUUUCAUUUUCUAUGUUCAGUGGACCGUGAAAUUGGGGUCAAAAGUUUAAUUUGUCUUUAAAAUUAGAAAGAUCAUAUCAUAAGGAACAUAUGUACUAAGUUUCAAGUUGAUUGGACUUCAGCUUCAUCAAAAACUACCUUGACCAAAAACUUUAACCUGAAGCGGGACAGACGGACGAACGAACAGACGGACGAACGAACGGACAGACGGACGGACGAACAGACGAACGGACGCACAGACCAGAAAACAUAAUGCCCCUCUACUAUCGUAGGUGGGGCAUAAAAA